UUGCGCCCUGAGGAGGUUUGCUCACGCUGGACCGUGGCGACGUGGCGUGGGCAGGAGGGAUCCUGGUGUCUCCCGGGCCGGGUCGGUAAACGGACCGGGAGGAGGUCCUCGGCAGAGCCUCUUGGCCGUGCUCACGAAACAGACUUACAGCCUCAAAACGUAAUGUGAUGAUGCGUCCCUUUGCGCUCUGCGCAGAGCUGGCCCGAAGUGAGGCAGGUUAUUCGUGGGGCCGAGGGGCCAGAAGCAGGUGUCGGAGGCCAGGGAGGGCGUUCUUCAGGUUGCGCAUUACCCGCUUGGGCUUUCACGGCGCUGAGUUUACGCUUCCGUUUUACCCUUAGACACUGGGGAAAGGACCAGAUGGACGCAGUGAACCUUCUUUCACUGACUUACCUGUGUUCCGGAGUUCAGCAUCUGUGCCUGCGAGCCUAACUGGUAAAGGAAUUUAGGUUGGUGGAGCUGAGUGGAACUGAGGAGGGCAGGCACUGGAGAUCUGAGUAUCCAGCUCCGAAAAGCAGGUAGAACUACGGAAGUACAGUACUUGCUAGGCUCUCGACCGAUACCGGGACGAAGUCGUCUUGGUAAGAUUUGGAAGAUGGUAAAUGACUUGUACACUUUUUACGGACGAAGUUUCACUUCUGAAGCAUGCUUAAAACGCAUUCAGGGCUGAGGAUUUAGCUCAGCGGCACCGAACCUGCCUCUCAAGCACAAGGUCCUGAGUUCAAUCACCGGUACCAAAACAAACAAAAACCGCAUUCAGAUUUCUGCUUCCACAGUUCCUGAGGUGGAGCCUUGAUUGAAAAUCAUUGCAACCUAAUCACCCCACCCUGAAUGAACUAUAUGGUAUCUAAUUCCACAUUACCUAAAACAGGAAAGAGGAAGUUAGUAGUCCCCACUGUUGCUGGUAUUUGUGCCAUAAUCUUGAAGGGAGCCGCCUAAGAUGAAAUAGAUACCGUGGACAGCACAGUUGAAAGAUUGAAAGAAACUGGGUCAUUGAUAACAUUGUUAAGAUAGCUAGAUCCACCAACCACAGAGCCUGUUCAGCAACUGGACUCUUCAUUGACAUGGGCCACUACUCUUCUGUAUUAAUGAAACCAGUUCAAGUUGCUUUGCUUGCAAGUUUAAUUAUUGUGUUGGAGAGCAUCCUAACUGAUAUGUACAGAUAAAUCUAAGACUAGGUUCCUAAAAAUAGGUAUUUUUUCCCUUCCUAUAGCAGAGGAGCAUAUACCAUAGAGUUGUGAAGCUUGAAUUUCAGUACCUUUACUUGUUUAGGACCCUUGUUAGCCUUCUACCAAAUUUUACACUUGUAAUUUUGUAUUCUUUAAAGAGUACCACCCAACUUGUAUAAGCUUUAGGCUUCACAAAACCUGUGAGAUGAUUUGGGGAGAAAACUUCGCCUUUCUCUCCAGUCCCUUCCAUUCAUGUCUUCCUAGGAGAGGAAUGACUUAUCUAAUUGGUAAAUAGCUGAAAGGUUUACAACCCAUGUGUGGCCUGGUCUCUCUUGACUCUCAUUCAUAUCUGCCUGCCACAGUGGUAGGCUCACUGCAGCCAUCCCUGGAUGACACAAUGUAAACAAGCAGUUGCUGCCAUUGACCUCUUCUUACCAAACUGUCAGCCUCCUGUACAUUUGAAAAACAAUGUAUUAAUACGAUAGUUGUGAAAAUCGUGAAGAAAGAACUCUGAAAAGGAAGCUUUGGGAGACAUAGAGAACAAGUAGUCAAGGAUUAGAGCCUUCUGUAUUAUCAUCCCUAGCCAUCAGUGGUGCAGGUGCUGACCCAUCCCUCUCCAAUUUGCCCUCAGUUUCCAGUAUUUUCCCUCAAUUGUCUGUGCUCCUGGGAUGCAGUUUGCACCUGUCAAGUGACUGCACAGAUUAAUUCCAGAGGAUGAUGAAUUAGAAUCCCAUUUUGACCCCGGGUCCAAGCUGUUUACACUAUUUCAACGUAAUCAGCAACAGUGGUGAUAAUGAGCACGUCUAAUGCCUGUGAAUAUUUGUUUCUCAACUCAGAAAGGUGAAGAGUAUGAUGAUCACCCUGAAAUAAAAACAGAAGGAGCCAAAAAUAGCAAUGAUAUAUGUAUAGAAAUGCUGAAUGACCAUUAAAUACAAAGCAGACCACUAGGUGCUAUGAAAGGUACAUAUGCAAUCACACAGUAACUCCAGAUCUCAGGGAUUUUGCAUCUACAAAGGAUAUAACACACAUCCUUACUUAUGAAGGUAACUCCAGUUCAAACAUUUUACAUAUAUUCAGUUAUAUUAGCUUGAAUGUAUGGAAUUGGCAUUUUUGGAGGCACAGAGUAUUUGAAUGUCAGCAUUUUCAUAUGGCCAACCUGAUGUUACCAGCAUUCAAAGUAUUGAUGAUUACAGAUGUUCCUUGACUUCUGAUGGGGUUACGUCUUGAUAAAUACAUCUUAAAUUGAAAAUACCACAGAUCAAAAAUGCAUUUAACACAUCUACCUUACCAAACACCAUAGCUUAACAAUAUAGUGCCCUUUAGGGUACUGAUUGCCUCCUUCUGUGAUCAUAUGGCUGACUGGGAGCUGUGGCUCGAUGCCACUGCCUACCCAUCUUGGGAUGCUAGCCUAGGACAAGAUCAAAAUUCCACAUUCAAAGUAAGCAUUCUGCUGCAUGUGCAUCACUUUCACACUAUAGUAGAGUCAAGAAUUCUUAAGUCAAACUUUCCUAAGGGCUGUCAGUUGUUGACCUGAAUCUGGUGCCACUGCAUUGCAGUUAGCAUCUGUAGACCUCUGACAUUACUUGCUUCCUGUCACACUUUGAAAGUUUUCACACUUGGCUGUCACUUUUUCUGAUAUAAUUUAUGUGAACAUUUUUGGUGAUUUCAAAAUCCACAAAAACAAUCUGUCUGUCUGUCUGUCUGUCUUUCUUUCUGACAGUCUUUCUAAUAUUCUGGUUUCUUGGCAUUUUCUCUUACAAUACUCUUGGCCUCCUUUACAUUAAAUAUCCAAUUCUGUGGUCAUCGCUCUUUUUUUUUUUUAGUACUGGGGAAUUAUAGCUAGCCUUGCAAAUGCUAGGCAAGCACUCUAGUACUGGGCAAUAUCCCCAGCAAUGAGAUCAUAUCUUUAACAUUGGAACAUCUACUUCCUCUUGCUUCUGGGAUAUCACUGCCUUUUGAUUCUUUUCUGACUCACUGGGCACAUUCUGAAUAUACUCUGUUGUUUUCUUCUCAUCAGCUGACCUGUAUAUGUAGAAGUACUCAGAGCUUGGUCUUCAAAUGUCUUUUCUUCUUUACAUAUACUUAUCCUUUCUAUGAUCGCAUCCAAUCGCAUGGCCUUCGUGCUCUCUGAAUAUUGAUGACUGUUAUGGUUUAAUGCUUCUCCUCUAAAAUGUAGGUGUUGCCAAUUUGAUAUUAUUAAGAGGUGACCUUUAAUAGGUGGCUUCACCUAGCUUUUGGCCUCUUUUACCCUUCUGCUUUCUCUGAUUCGAGGAUGCAGUAUGAAGGCCAGAAACUUGAUCUUGAACUUCCCAAUCUCUAGAACUGUGAGAAAAUAAAUUAAAAAAAAAUUAUCCAUUCUCAAUACUUUGUCAUUAUAUGGUAUUGGGGAUUGAAGAGCCCUUAUAGUGAGCUACAUCUCCAGCACUUUUUGAUGUUUUAUUUUGACAUGGUCUCACUAUAUCACUAAGUUACCCAGGCUGGGGUCAAACUUGUGAUCUUCCUGUCUAAGUCUCCCAGAGUGCUGAGAUUACAGGCAUUUGCUACCACCCCAAGCUGAUUUUUCUCUUUCUUACCACAUUCUCACUAUAUCAGCAAAUCCUAUUGGUUUUACCUUCAAUAUAUGCGGAGUCCAAUCACUUCUCACCACAUCUACUUUGCCUUAGCUCAGGUUAUUCUCAUCUUGAUUACUCCAUUUUUUUCCCAUCAUCCAUUAAAUCUCCAUGUAGACCAUGCCACUCUUCUCAGAACUGUCUGGUGACUUCCUAUCUUACUAAAAAUGAAAGCCAGUGUUCUUACUGUGGCCUGUAAGACCACUUAAGUCUGGUUAGCCUCCUGUUACCUGUCUGAUCUCAUGCCCUACAAGUUUCUCUUUUUCUCAUGAUAGUUCAUCCAAAUAGGCCUUCUUUCUAAACUUCAGACAUGCUAAGAAUGUUUCACAUCAGGAACUUAGCACUUACUGUUCCAUGAUGAAUUGUUCUUUCCACAUAUAUAUGUGGAUCACUCAAAUGUUCAAAUAAAUCCUUCUAAGGGACUUCUUCCUACAGCUUCACAUGUAAGAUAGUACUCUGUGGGUACUCCCUAUCCCUACCUCACUUGACCUGACUGCAGAUGUUAUCACUACCUGAUGUAAUACAUAUUCUCCUUUUUAUUUUUUAGCAUGAGUCUUCCUCUAACCAGAAGACAAACUCCAUAAGAGCAAGACUUUGCUUUAUUUACUACUAUAUUCUCAGUGAUGUUUGACAUGGUUUAGCAUGAUGUUGGCAUGGUCAGUGAAUAUUUGUUGGUUAAAUGAAUUAACUAAAAUAACUGCAUUAACAUAUACCACAUGAUAUCUAAAAUAAUAAAGAAUUACCAAAUUAUAAUUGGAUUGUUUUCCAGAAGUUUUAAAGUUGGCCGUUUGGAGAAUAUAUGUAUAAAUAUAUUCCCUACAAAGAGGAAGUGCUGUUAUCCUCACGGGGAGAAAUAUGAGACUUAUGCUAAGUACUUCUACCUAGGUUUCCUGAUUCUGAGGUGUGUACACCUCACCACUACAAUAAAUUUCCAGAUCAGAUCACAAAAUAUUAUGUAAGUCAUAUAACUCAUUUAAGGUGGUAUAUUAAAAGGAAGGAUGAAAAUGGAAGAUACCCAUCUUAUGUGCAAUUAGCUAUAUCUAGACUUCAGGUGCUCUUCCUAGCUUUCUAGAUUUUGCAGCCAAUUACAUUUGUUCUUCUCUUUCAUCAACCUAUCUCUUCCUAUUUCCCCCUUACAGAAACACACACACACACACAUAAACUUUGAUUCUAUGAUCAGUUACUCACCUGCCACUACGAUAAGUGUUUUUGCCUCCUGUCCUCCCACUCCCCUUUACUUUUCCCUGUUCUGUAAAAACACAAUCCUGGAUACAUACAGCUAUCUGUAUCUUCCACAUAUCUGGAUCUGGACUGCUGUAUUAGGAAAGGAUUUUCUAAACAAAACCUCGAUGACACAAGAAAUAGAAGCAAAAAUCAACAAAUGGGAUUAUAUCAGACUAAAAAGCUUCUGUACAGCAGAAGAAUCAGUCAGAGUGAAGAGACAACCUACAGAAUGGGAAAAAAUGUUGCCAGCUACUCCUCAGACAGAGGA